CAGUAGCCACGGGAAUACGGAGGGAGCUAGCGUUGUCCGGAAUUACUGGGCGUAAAGCGCACGUAGGCGGUUAUUCAAGUCAGAGGUGAAAGCCCGGGGCUCAACCCCGGAACUGCCUUUGAAACUAGAUGACUGGAAUCUUGGAGAGGUCAGUGGAAUUCCGAGUGUAGAGGUGAAAUUCGUAGACAUUCGGAAGAACACCAGUGGCGAAGGCGACUGACUGGACAAGUAUUGACGCUGAGGUGCGAAAGCGUGGGGAGCAAACAGGAUUAGAUACCCCUGUAGUCCCUGUCUCUUAUAC
rnacentral:rRNA from 1 species